GCUGGAUGUGGUGGUGUCCACCUGUAAUCCCAGCAGCUCUGGAGGCUGAGGCAGGAGUCUUGUGAGUUCAAAGCCAGCCUCAU
rnacentral:sRNA from 1 species